GACGAACGCUGGCGGCGUGCUUAACACAUGCAAGUCGAGCGAUGAAAUUCUCUUCGGAGAAUGGAUUAGCGGCGGACGGGUGAGUAACACGUGGGUAACCUGCCUUAUAGUGGGGGAUAGCCUUUCGAAAGGAAGAUUAAUACCGCAUAAUAUUGUAGUUUCGCAUGAAACAACAAUUAAAGAUUUAUCGCUAUAAGAUGGACCCGCGGCGCAUUAGCUAGUUGGUGGGGUAACGGCCUACCAAGGCGACGAUGCGUAGCCGACCUGAGAGGGUGAUCGGCCACAUUGGGACUGAGACACGGCCCAGACUCCUACGGGAGGCAGCAGUGGGGAAUAUUGCACAAUGGGCGAAAGCCUGAUGCAGCAACGCCGCGUGAAGGAAGAAGGUCUUCGGAUCGUAAACUUCUGUCCUGGGGGAAGAAGAACUGACGGUACCCUUGGAGGAAGCCCCGGCUAACUACGUG
rnacentral:rRNA from 1 species